GAUGAACGCUGGCGGCGUGCCUAAUACAUGCAAGUCGAGCGAACGGACGAGAAGCUUGCUUCUCUGCUGUUAGCGGCGGAAGGGGGAGUAAAACGUGGAUAACCUACCUAUAAGACUGGGGUAACUUCGGGAAACCGGAGCUAUUACAGGAAGAUAUUUUGAACCGCAUGGUUCAAAAGUCAAAGACGGACUUGCUGUCACUUAUAGAUGGACCCGCGCUGCAUUAGCUAGUUGGUAAGGUAACGGCUUACCAAGGCAACGAUGCAUAGCCGACCUGAGAGGGGGACCGGCCCCACGGGAACUGAGACACGGCCCAGACUCUUACGGGAGGCAGCAGUAGGAAAUCUUCCGCAAGGGGGGAAAGCCUAACGGAGCAACGCGGCGUGAGUGAUAAAGAUCUUGUGAUCGUAAACCUCUGUUAUUAGGGAAGAAGAGAUGUGUAAGUACCAGUGCACAUAUUGACGGUACCUAAUCAGAAAGCCACGGCUAACUACGUG
rnacentral:rRNA from 1 species